AUAUUGCCAUGCUCUCUCUUCACGGCAGCAAGGAAGUCGAUGAGAGUCACCGCCGAGGUGGGGACGCCGUAGUCGGGCCAGCUGAGGCACUUUGAUGACCGUGUCACGCUCAAGACGACCGGUGCCAAACCUCGUUCCUUCUCGGCUUCAGGCAGACUCUUGUUUGAUCAAGACAGAGAACGUCUCCAUAUCGGUUCCUCUCCAGAUUGUAGACCGCUCUGUUGAUUAAAAAAAAAAAAAAU